AUGAGCCGUAUGAAUCGAGAGGUUCACGUACGGUUCUGUGAGAGCAUUUAGGUGAAAUUCCUAAGUGCUACUCGAC
rnacentral:ncRNA from 1 species